rnacentral:rRNA from 1 species
CCGGGAAGAGCUCAAAUUUGUAAUCUGGCUGUCUUCGAUAGUCCGAGUUGUAAUCUAUAGAAGCGUUUUCCGUGCUGAACUGUGUAUAAGUCCCUUGGAACAGGGUAUCAAAGAGGGUGACAAUCCCGUACUUUACACAAUCAUCAGUGCUCUGUGAUACGUUCUCUACGAGUCGAGUUGUUUGGGAAUGCAGCUCAAAAUGGGUGGUAAAUUCCAUCUAAAGCUAAAUAUUGGCGAGAGACCGAUAGCGAACAAGUACCGUGAGGGAAAGAUGAAAAGCACUUUGGAAAGAGAGUUAAACAGUACGUGAAAUUGUUAAAAGGGAAACGAUUGAAGUCAGUCGUGUUUAUUGGAUUCAGCCGGUCUUCGGUGUACUUCCUUUAAACGGGUCAACAUCAGUUUUGUUCGGUGGAUAAAGAUGCUAGGAAUGUAGCUUCCUCGGAAGUGUUAUAGACUAGUAUUGCAUACACUGGAGGAGACUGAGGACUGCAGCUCGCCUUUUGGCCGGGGUUCGCCCACGUUCGAGCUUAGGAUGUUGACAUAAUGGCUUUAAACGACCCGUCUU